AGUAAACUGAUGGCAUUGGACUGCUCUGCUUUGCUUUGCUUGGAAUGGAAGGCAGAUGCACCGCUUGAGUAUGCUCCAUAAUGGGGAAUAAGCAGACAGAUUGGUUUCCUCCACAUUCAUUUUUUACUUGCACAGACGCAAACUCCACUGAAGCUGGGGGAAUUAUUGACAGCUGAUACUGAGGCAAUCCAAGGCCAGACUCUGACCUAUUGAUUUCCCUGAGAUUGCACAGGACAUAUGCAGUUCAUUGCAGAAUACAGCCUUUGUUUGUUUUGUUUAUUACUCAGUAUAUAGCAAUGUGGAAUAAAGAACAACGCUGGACUGCAGGAAUGCCUGAGGACUUCUCUUUAAUUGAAAUCAGGACUGGGAACAUCCUUGUAAAUCAAGAGCAGUCAGCCUUUGAGAAAACUCACUGCUUUUGCAAAGUUUACUUUCAAAGGGGAUUUAGCUUUAACUCUUUGUCUCUCACACUGCCUUGGCUAAGUCAUUGUUAACAGUUUCCCUAAGUGUCUACGUGCUGCUCAGUAGUCACUUCCAGGCACAACAAGUGAUGGGCAGGAUUCUUAAUUAUACUAAAACUAUGAAUAGUGGUUGAGAAAAAAAAGCAAACCAAACAAAAUAACAAGCACAUGGAAUUAUUAAAGGUAUGUCUGGUAUUGGUCCAAAUCCAUAUUUUGAAAACCCUAUGAAACCCUAGGGUUUCAGUUAAGUUCAUUAAGAAGCUACGGGUUCUCCUUGGAAAAUUAUGACCUAGACCUGAGUUUUACUGAAGUUUGAUGAUGCUUUAGAUCAGUUUUUAAUUCCCAGCCCUGUAAUUGCCAUGCAGUGUGCAGGCAACAGACAGCACUUAACUCCACCAGCAAUUUGGCUUUACCUCCAGCCCUCCCUGAAUGUGUUUCAGCCCCUGAUAAAUGGGUGCCAACCACAGUAAGCAGAAGAAACAUCUCAGCUCUGGUGUCCUAAUUAAAGUCCCCUUGUUUCCCACAUUGGAGCUCCCUGUGUGUUACGAAACGUCCAAACAAGAGUGUUUCUGCUUAAAUAAAGAUUUCACAAUGGGACUUUCCUUCUUCAGCUGUAUUUUUCCAAACUCACAUUUUCAGUGCAUUUAUUGGAUUGAGAUGUCUUGUAAUUAUUUAUAACAAAAGGGUUAGUCCUUCUAGCCUGUUUAAGAUGGCCAGCAUGAUGAACACUAAGUUAGCAGCAGGCUGCAAGUGGAUCAGGCUAUUAAGAUUAAUGCAACAAAUUUGAAUUCUUCCAUCCCCUCUCUUCAGUAACCCAUCUCUGUGUGUGUGUGUGUGUGUGUGUGUGGCUGGGAAGGAAAAGAAAGGGCUCCUGUGCUCCAGGAUAAUAGUGAAUGCUGAUGAAGAGGAAAAAGGAAAACACUGUUUAUCCCUAGCAGGAAGAUAAUUGAUCUAUAGUCUGCACACAACUGGUCUCAAAGCAGCCGGUAGCUACACAGAAGAGACCAUAGCUAACCAGAGCCCAAACUAGGCUGUCAAACAAAAGCUUUAUAGGGACACCAGGGAGAACAAAAGUAGCACAUUUCAUUCCUUCAUAAUAAAUCUUCCAUCUUUAUUGUGCAGAGAUGUUUUGCUCCCGAGCAUGCCAUGUUUCAGAGUGGGGCCCACCCCCACCACCCCCACGGACCCUGAGCAUCCAGCCUGAGCCGAGCUGCUUCAUCAGGCUUUGGGGUUUAUUUUUGCUGUGCACAGCCAGGCCCAGCUGUUCCCUGCAUCCUCAGACAGCAGCAGCUCUUGGGCUCCAGCUCUACCACUCUCUGGUUUAUGUGUACUAAAGGUAAUAAAAUAACCAUUUCUAAAUUUAACUAGCAUUGCAUAAUGCAGCUAUUUAUUAUGUAAAGCUGCUGUUUACAAUGCCCAAAAUAUUGAUCACUGUAAAAAAUGCAGUGCAGCUAGAGCUCAUAUAAAUUAAUGCUACUGUUUUCCUUUCUUUUUGUUUAAAGGAUCAAUCAAAGGUCUAAUUUGUUCUUGUGAAUUCACCUCUGCAAAGCAGGCAGAGUACCAGGCAGCGCAUUGUUUACUGUCAUUCGGGCUCACGUGCAGCACUCAGCUCAGAAUCUGGCAGAGGAUAUGUAAAGAUGACAAUUUGUUCAUUAUCUGAACCAGUGGAAAAGGCAAAUAAAGCACACUAACCUGCUCUAUUUCAAA